rnacentral:rRNA from 1 species
CGGACGGGUGAGUAAUGCCUAGGAAUCUGCCUGGUAUGGGGGACAACGUUUCGAAAGGAACGCUAAUACCGCAUACGUCCUACGGGAGAAAGCAGGGGACCUUCGGGCCUUGCGCUAUCAGAUGAGCCUAGGUCGGAUUAGCUAGUUGGUGAGGUAAUGGCUCACCAAGGCGACGAUCCGUAACUGGUCUGAGAGGAUGAUCAGUCACACUGGAACUGAGACACGGUCCAGACUCCUACGGGAGGCAGCAGUU